rnacentral:snoRNA from 1 species
CUUUGGUGAUGAUAAGAUGACGAGUCAGAAGUGGGUGGCUCUUGUUGCGGUACCUCUGCAGUGUCAUGUUCUGUGAUGCUGCGUGUGGUUCUUCAGAUUGAAUGAUUUAGAGGCAUUUGUCUGAGAAGG